rnacentral:rRNA from 1 species
AGUAUGUGGUUUAAUUCGAUGCAACGCGAAGAACCUUACCUGGUCUUGACAUCCCGGAGACCCUUAGGAACAGGGGGUGCUUCCAUCUGGAAGAAUCUGGAGACAGGUGCUGCAUGGCUGUCGUCAGCUCGUGUCGUGAGAUGUUGGGUUAAGUCCCGCAACGAGCGCAACCCUUGCCUUUAGUUGCCAGCAGUUCGGCUGGGCACUCUAAAGGGACUGCCGGUGUUAAACCGGAGGAAGGUGGGGAUGACGUCAAGUCCUCAUGGCCUUUAUGACCAGGGCUACACACGUACUACAAUGGCCGAUACAAAGGGCAGCGACACUGCGAGGUGAAGCCAAUCCCGUAAAAUCGGUCUCAGUCCGGAUUGGAGUCUGCAACUCGACUCCAUGAAGUUGGAAUCGCUAGUAAUCGUGGAUCAGCAUGCCACGGUGAAUACGUUCCCGGGCCUU